AUACAGAGGGUGCGAGCGUUAAUCGGAAUUACUGGGCGUAAAGCGCGCGUAGGCGGCUUAUUAAGUCAGAUGUGAAAUCCCCGGGCUCAACCUGGGAACUGCAUCUGAUACUGGUAAGCUAGAGUUUUGGAGAGGGAAGUAGAAUUUCAGGUGUAGCGGUGAAAUGCAUAGAGAUCUGAAGGAAUACCAGUGGCGAAGGCGACUUCCUGGCCAAAAACUGACGCUGAGGUGCGAAAGCGUGGGCAGCAAACGGGAUUAGAAACCCUAGUAGUCC
rnacentral:rRNA from 1 species